rnacentral:rRNA from 1 species
CCUACGGGAGGCAGCAGUGAGGAAUAUUGGUCAAUGGACGCAAGUCUGAACCAGCCAUGCCGCGUGCAGGAAGGCGGCCCUAUGGGUUGUAAACUGCUUUUAAUUAGGAAUAACCCCCCGGAUGUAUUCGGGGCUGAAAGUACUAAAAGAAUAAGCAUCGGCUAACUCCGUGCCAGCAGCCGCGGUAAUACGGAGGAUGCAAGCGUUAUCCGGAUUCAUUGGGUUUAAAGGGUUCGCAGGCGGCAUAUUAAGUCAGUGGUGAAAUGCCUCCGCUCAACGGAGGAACUGCCAUUGAUACUGGUAUGCUGGAGUAUAGUUGGCGUAGGCGGAAUAUUUCAUGUAGCGGUGAAAUGCUUAGAUAUGAAAUAGAACACCGAUCGCGAAGGCAGCUUACGAAGCUAUAACUGACGCUCAUGAACGAAAGCGUGGGGAUCAAACAGGAUUAGAUACCCUGGUAGUCCACGCUGUAAACGAUGAUUACUCGUUGUCGGCGAUAUACAGUCGGUGGCUAAGCGAAAGUGAUAAGUAAUCCACCUGGGGAGUACGAUCGCAAGGUUGAAACUCAAAGGAAUUGACGGGGGCCCGCACAAGCGGAGGAGCAUGUGGUUUAAUUCGAUGAUACGCGAGGAACCUUACCUGGGCUUAAAUGUAGAUUGCAUGAUGGGGAAACCUGUCUUUUCUUCGGAACUAUUUACAAGGUGCUGCAUGGUUGUCGUCAGCUCGUGCCGUGAGGUGUCGGGUUAAGUCCCAUAACGAGCGCAACCCCUACCUUUAGUUGCCAUCAGGUUAAGCUGGGGACUCUAAAGGAACUGCCUACGCAAGUAGUGAGGAAGGUGGGGAUGACGUCAAAUCAGCACGGCCCUUACGUCCAGGGCUACACACGUGCUACAAUGGUCGGUACAGAGGGUCGCUACCCCGCGAGGGGAUGCCAAUCUCAAAAGCCGAUCUCAGUUCGGAUCGAAGUCUGAAACUCGACUUCGUGAAGUUGGAUUCGCUAGUAAUCGCGCAUCAGCCAUGGCGCGGUGAAUACGUUCCCGGGCCUUGUACACACCGCCCGU